rnacentral:hammerhead_ribozyme from 1 species
ACUCAGCUGACGAGUCCCAAAUAGGACGAUACGCACUUUGUCCUGGAU